AGAGUUUGAUCCUGGCUCAGGACGAACGCUGGCGGCGUGCUUAACACAUGCAAGUCGAACGAUGAACCACCUUCGGGUGGGGAUUAGUGGCGAACGGGUGAGUAACACGUGGGCAAUCUGCCCUUCACUCUGGGACAAGCCCUGGAAACGGGGUCUAAUACCGGAUACUGACCUGCCAAGGCAUCUUGGCGGGUCGAAAGCUCCGGCGGUGAAGGAUGAGCCCGCGGCCUAUCAGCUUGUUGGUGAGGUAAUGGCUCACCAAGGCGACGACGGGUAGCCGGCCUGAGAGGGCGACCGGCCACACUGGGACUGAGACACGGCCCAGACUCCUACGGGAGGCAGCAGUGGGGAAUAUUGCACAAUGGGCGAAAGCCUGAUGCAGCGACGCCGCGUGAGGGAUGACGGCCUUCGGGUUGUAAACCUCUUUCAGCAGGGAAGAAGCGAAAGUGACGGUACCUGCAGAAGAAGCGCCGGCUAACUACGUGCCAGCAGCCGCGGUAAUACGUAGGGCGCAAGCGUUGUCCGGAAUUAUUGGGCGUAAAGAGCUCGUAGGCGGCUUGUCACGUCGGUUGUGAAAGCCCGGGGCUUAACCCCGGGUCUGCAGUCGAUACGGGCAGGCUAGAGUUCGGUAGGGGAGAUCGGAAUUCCUGGUGUAGCGGUGAAAUGC
rnacentral:rRNA from 1 species